GAUUUGUCUUUAUUUUAUACCUUUUAAUUUCACAAGACGUCAACUGAUGGACUGGAGUUGUGUGAAUUACUUGUGAAUUAUUGU